GGUUGUUUGGCCGAGCGGUCUAAGGCGCCUGAUUCAAGUAUUGGUUUAUUUGGCUACAGUUACACUGUGGGAAUACUCAGGUAUCGUAAGAUGCAAGAGUUCGAAUCUCUUAGCAACCA
rfam:Tetrapisispora phaffii CBS 4417 chromosome 14, complete genome